UAUGCAAGUGAUGAUUAACAGACAGGGACAUCGGCAUUCUAUUAGGAUAUGAUGAUUUGUUGUUGGGAAUCUCUCUGUUGCAUA